GUUUUAAUCUAAUAGUUUUAUUGAAAUAAAAAAAAAAUGUGUGUUGUACAAAUCAAAGAGUAUACUUCAAGAGUUAUCAUUGCCCACAUUCAAUAUAGUAUUCAUUUAUAUUUUGACAUAAGCUUUAACUAACAAAAAGAUAUUUUAGAUUCCAAUACAAUUCAAUAAACUCUGACAGUGAUUCAUACACAGUGCAAGCAAAGGCAUGGGAGGGGGGGGGGGAUAAGGCAACUCUAUAUCAAGCAACUACAAUGUGUAUAUCGACAGGAUUAAAUAAACAAUGAAUAAAAAUAACGAGAAAUUUGUACUAGUGAAAAAAUGAUUUGAAACAACUUUAUGCCAAAUACAAGGGAUACUAGUGAGACAGUUAACAAUUUAAAGAGAUGAUAACAAUUUAAGUGAGUAACAAGAUAAACUUCAGCUGCAAUUAUCAAGGGUUUGUACAAUACUAAGAAUCUGAAGUAAGUAAAUUUCUUUAAGUCUAUAGCCCCAGUUUUCACAGCAUAGAGUUUACAAGGAUGUUAUGUCAUGAGUACAGUGAUAAGAGAAAUAGACAGUAAAAAUGUCAAUUCCAGCCUGACUAACUAAAGCCACCAAAACCCUUAUAAUAAAGUAACCUUUUACAGUCAAUGACUGAUCCAGUUAUUUUAGAAAGUCAUUAGCAACCAGGGUACAUGUCCAUUACUCAUGGUGAAUAAAUUCUAUUUUAUAGUGCAAUUGGAAUAUACGAACAUGUACAGUCAUUAAUGUAUGUUUUUUUUUAAUGAUGAAUCAUAACUUACAUUGUGGCAAGGAAAAUUUUGUAACAGAACUAUCAUACUGAGGAAUGAAGGGUACAAAUAAUUAAAGACAAGUUUGUGAGAUGUUAUAGACUAAACCAAUGAGCUCUUUCCCCCUUAAGGCUGGGCACAUAACACAUUCGACAUUCUGUCAAGUGCAUGAAGAAGUGUGUCAGACCAACAUCACCAGCCCGUAGUUUUAUUUACAAACAGAUAAGCAUGUAGUCAAUAUCUUUCAUAAAAUUAGGUAAUCAACAACAUUCAUCAAGCUUUUUUUUUUUUUUUUUUUUUUUCUU